rnacentral:misc_RNA from 1 species
UACGUAGGGGGCAAGCGUUGUCCGGAAUUAUUGGGCGUAAAGCGCGCGCAGGCGGCUUUUUAAGUCCGGCGUUUAAGCCCGGGGCUCAACCCCGGUUCGCGCGGGAAACUGGAAGGCUCGAGUGCAGGAGAGGGAAGCGGAAUUCCACGUGUAGCGGUGAAAUGCGUAGAGAUGUGGAGGAACACCAGUGGCGAAGGCGGCUCUCUGGUCUGUAACUGACGCUGAGGCGCGAAAGCGUGGGGAGCAAACAGG